rnacentral:rRNA from 1 species
GGUUUGAUCAUGGCUCAGAUUGAACGCUGGCAGGAUGGCUUUUACACAUGCAAGUCGAACGGCAGCACGGACUUCGGUCUGGUGGCGAGUGGCGAACGGGUGAAAGAUGUAUCGGAACGUGCCUAGUAGCGGGGGCUAACUACGCGAAAGCGUAGCUAACCACGCGCAGCCCUUCGGGGAAAGCGGGGGACCUUCGGGCCUCGCACUAUUAGAGCGGCCGAUAUCGGAUUAGCUAGUUGGUGGGGGUAACGGCUCACCAAGGCGACGAUCCGUAGCUGGUUUGAGAGGACGACCAACCACACUGGGACUGAGACACGGCCCAGACUCCUACGGGAGGCAGCAGUGGGGAAUUUUGGACAAUGGGAAAACCACAGUCAACCAUCCCGCGUGUGCGAUGAAGGCCUUCGGGUUGUAAAGCACUUUUGGCAGGAAAAGAAACGGCACGGGAUAAUACCCCGUGCAACUGACGAGCGCACUGCCAGAAUAAGCACCGGCUAACUACGUGCCAGCAGCCGCGGUAAUACGUAGGGUGCAAGCGUUAAUCCGGAAUUACUGGGCGUAGCGUGCGCAGGCGGUUCGGAAAGAAAGAUAGCAAUCCCAGAGCUUAACUUUGGAACUUGCAUUUACAACACCGAGCUAGAGUGUCAGAGAGUGGAAUUCCGCGUGCUUGGCAGUGAAAUGCGUAGAUAUGCGGAGGAACACCGAUGGCGAGAGGCAGCCUCCUGGGAUAACACCUGACGCUCAUGCACGAAAGCGUGGGGAGCAAACAGGAUUAGAUACCCUGGUAGUCCACGCCCUAAACGAUGUCAACUAACUGUUGGGGCCUUCGGGCCUUGGUAGCGCAGCUAACGCGUGAGUUGACCGCCUGGGGGUACGGUCGCCAAGAUUAAAACUCAAAGGAAUUGACAGGGACCCGCACAAGCGGUGGAUGAUGUGGAUUAAUUCGAUGCAACGCGAAAAACCUUACCUACCCUUGACAUGUCUGGAAUCCCGAAGAGAUUUGGGAGUGCUCGCAAAGAGAACCGGAACACAGGUGCUGCAUGGCUGUCGUCAGCACUCGUGUCGUGAAGAUGUUGGGUUAAGUCCCGCAACGAGCGCAGCCCUUGUCAUUAGUUGCUGCGAAAGGGCACUCUAAUGAGACUGCCGGUGACAAACCGGAGGAAGGUGGGAUGACGUCAAGUCCUCAUGGCCCUUGGGUAGACUUCACGUCAUACAAUGGUCGGGACAGAGGGUCAUGGCCAACCCGCGGGAGCCAAUCCCAGAAACUUGAUCGUAGUCCGGAUCGCAGUCUGCAGCUCGAAACUUGCGUGAAGUCUGGAAUCGCUAGUAAUCGCGGAUCAGCAUGUCGCGGUGAAUACGUUCCCGGGUCCUACACACCACUUCCGUCACACCAUGGGAGUAGGUUUUACCAGAAGUAGUUAACCUAACCGUAAGGAGGCGAUUACCACGGUAGGAUUCAUGACUGGGGUGAAGAUGUAACAAGGUAAUAUUAC